CCUAUGGGGAAAGAUUAUCGCCGAGAGAUUGCCCGCGUCGGAUAGCUAGUUGGUGGGGUAAUGCCCACCAAGGCGACGAUCCGUAGCGGUCUGAGAGGUGAUCACCACACGGGCUGAGACCGGCCCAGACUCUACGGGAGGCAGCAGUGGGAAUAUGGACAAUGGGGCAAUCCUGAUCCAGCCAUGCCGCGUGAGUAUGAAGGCCCUAGGGUGUAAAGCUCUUUCAGCGAGGAGGAUAAUGACGUUACUCGCAGAAGAAGCCCCGGCUAACUUCGUGCCAGCAGCCGCGGUAAUACGAAGGGGGCUAGCGUUGUUCGGAAUCACUGGGCGUAAAGCGCACGUAGGCGGACUUUUAAGUCAGGGGUGAAAUCCCGGGGCUCAACCUCGGAACUGCCUUUGAUACUGGAAGUCUUGAGUCCGAGAGAGGUGAGUGGAACUCCGAGUGUAGAGGUGAAAUUCGUAGAUAUUCGGAAGAACACCAGUGGCGAAGGCGGCUCACUGGCUCGGUACUGACGCUGAGGUGCGAAAGCGAGGGGAGCAAACAGGAUUAGAUACCCCGGUAGUUCCCACCGUUAACGAUGGAACCUAGCCGUCAGGGUGCAUGCAUCUUGGUGGCGCAGCUAACGCAUUAAGCUCC
rnacentral:rRNA from 1 species